rnacentral:snoRNA from 1 species
GACGCAUAUACGAUGAAGCAUUACGGAUGUAAAUGAGUCUCGGACUCACGCGUCUGAGAGCGCAUAAAAACCAUGUGGAUCUUUCCGUUGCCUUCCUCCUGACUUUCACCGC